rnacentral:tRNA from 1 species
GCCUCCAUAGACUAGCGGUUAGGUCACCGCCCUUUCACGGCGGCAGCGGGGGUUCAAGUCCCCCUGGAGGUA